rnacentral:rRNA from 1 species
AGUUUGAUCCUGGCUCAGAUUGAACGCUGGCGGCAGGCCUAACACAUGCAAGUCGAACGGUAACAGGAAGAAGCUUGCUUCUUUGCUGACGAGUGGCGGACGGGUGAGUAAUGUCUGGGAAACUGCCUGAUGGAGGGGGAUAACUACUGGAAACGGUAGCUAAUACCGCAUAACGUCGCAAGACCAAAGAGGGGGACCUUCGGGCCUCUUGCCAUCGGAUGUGCCCAGAUGGGAUUAGCUAGUAGGUGGGGUAACGGCUCACCUAGGCGACGAUCCCUAGCUGGUCUGAGAGGAUGACCAGCCACACUGGAACUGAGACACGGUCCAGACUCCUACGGGAGGCAGCAGUGGGGAAUAUUGCACAAUGGGCGCAAGCCUGAUGCAGCCAUGCCGCGUGUAUGAAGAAGGCCUUCGGGUUGUAAAGUACUUUCAGCGGGGAGGAAGGGAGUAAAGUUAAUACCUUUGCUCAUUGACGUUACCCGCAGAAGAAGCACCGGCUAACUCCGUG